rnacentral:lncRNA from 1 species
UUUUUUUUUUUUUUUUACCCCAUAGACAUGUUUGCAAGAAAUGGGAAUAUUCUCAUUUUUAAACUUGUUUUGACAGUCAAUAAUAAACAUUUGCAUUAAAAGUAAAUUUAUUAAAAGCAGAUGAAAUAUAAAUCUUCUUAGAAAAGCUUGAGAGCAGGCAAGGAUCAACUUAUAGGAGGGACUUUUGGAGAGUCGAGUCAUUCAUGUCAUUCAUCAAUGAAGAGAAAGGAAGGGCAGAGUCAAGGACACAGGGGUACAACUGCCCAGUAAGGACAAAAAGGUCUUUGAGUGUGCUCUCCAAAGCAGAAGGGGCUCAGGACACCCACGGCCGAACCUCAGGAUGCUGGCAAACUUCUUAUCUUUAAUUUGCACAUGGCUUGAUAAGAGCAAGCCUGAACAGAAAGGAAGUUGCUCACCAGAUGCCUGCACCUACGCAUGUAGCAUGCUAUUCUCUGAUCCAGAACUAUGACUUCAGCACAUUGUAGAUCCCCACUCCGGCUCCCAGCAGUCACCCAUGACCUCUCCUAACUGUAUCCGUCCUAAGGUUGUCUUGUCACUUGAGUGGACACAGGUAUAUACAUUGGUGGAAGCAGGCCUUCUUGAGGCUGGGGAGAUGGCUCAGCAAUUUACAGCACUGGAUGCUCUCCAGAGGACCCAUGCUCAAUUCCUAGCACCCAUAAGGCAAUUCAUAUCUAUCUGUAACUUCAGUUCCACGGUACGUGAUGCUGCCUUCUGACCUACAUGGCUACCAAACAUGCACAGGAUGAACAGACAUACAUACAGAGAAGACGAUGGCAGACCUAGAAGAGAAGCUAUCUGUCCAAUGAGUGUAUUGGGAUUCCUUACAGGAGGAACUUGAGCAAGAGCUAGUUUGUAAGAAGCAGAUGAUUUGGGACACUGCGUCUCAAGAACAACCCUGAGGACAAUGUGUGCUUGGAGCACAUGAAGCUCAAGAAGAAGGAAGACCAAAGUGGAGUGUUUCAAUUGAGAAGAAACUACAACCCAGUGGGAGUUUAUAUGAAAACAUAUGGAUCACUGGAGGACAGGCAUGCCUGGGAGCAGCUGUUGGGAUUAUGGGGAAGGAAGCACAGUACCACCUACAGAAUAAGAGAAGAGACACCCGAUGGCUUCAGUAGGAGUUAUAAAUGUGAUGUGCCUGAUAGUAUUGAAGAAAUCGUGGGUUCUGAUGGUUUCUGCUUAGAAGAAAAAGCAUCCUCAGACUAGCAAAGAAGCAACUGUUUAGGUUGGUCAGAGGAACCUACGAAACCCAGCCUAAAGCUCCGGCUAAAACCUUAAAGGUUUAUGUCCCCAGGGAACAUGCUAUGUGUCUUUCACAACCAGUCCAGUCAUCUGCACAUUGCAAACCUGCAGACGUUCCCUCAGCACCCUGAGGUUUGCAACUUAGACUCCGGACAGCAUCUGCUGUCAUCAAUACACCAGAACCAGGUUAUCAACACAGAAAAAGUAGUGUAUUUCCUGCUUCAUAACUUUUCAAAGUGAACAUUUAAUAAAAAAAAA